AAGCCAUCUGAUCCACUACAAGUUGUUUGAAUUUUGGCGAUUCAAAUGAUGGAUGGUCCACUUCCGGAGAACAUACCUGCACUUCUCCGACUCGUUUGAUCAUAUUGAUGGGAUCUUCGAUGAUCACUCCGGCGGAUGAGUUUCCUGGGUAAACCUCGUUCUGGCAAGGGUGUGGGUGAUUGUGCUCCCCUUCGUAUGUUGCAAUCAGAAGCGAUCUGUCUUCCAGACUUUUCUGAACCUGAUCGAUAAAAUAUAUAUCAAUAUUUACUUUGAUUACAAUUAAUCAUGGUUGCAUGCAAUAAUUAAUAUAUUAAUUUUACCUUCUUUUUGACAGGGCAGAUCGGAGCAUGGGAGCAUUUGUAGUAAGCUUUGGGAGAAGGAUUAGCUCUUGUGACCUUCUGACCAUACUUCCUCCAUUGAUAUCCAUCUUUCACUACCAGGCUCGAAUCCAAUGGGUCGAUUUUCACACAGGUGUUGGAUAUCUUUACAGUGGAUGUGGCUCUUCUUCCAUCGCUGGUACUGUCUGUAUAGUAAUCCGGCAAUGGAUUCAUCAUUAACAUCUCUUCCGCCUUCCUCUUUCUCAGUGGUGGUGAUGAAGAGGAGGUCGAAUCAGAUCUUCCUACUCCGGCAAGAUAACCGUAACUACUACCUGUUCUCAUCAUAUCACUCGCUUGGAUUCUUAAAACCUGGUAACUCUUUGUAAUAUUUCUGAGCAUCUCAUUUAGUCUAAUAUUCUCCAUGGUCAUGCGGUGAAGAUCAGACUCCAGCUGUUCGGCUGCUUCUUCUCUAAGGGAACCAUCCUUGGUAAUAUUAUUAAACUUCCUCUCAGCUUCUGUCGUCAACUCCGGCGACUGCAAGAUUACUUAAUUAAUUAAUCAUUUACCGAUCACCAUAAUCAAAUCAAUUUAAUCGUAGGACUUACAUGAUUUGGGUUGUUCGCGGGACCGAUAUUGAGGUCCAAACUGAUCGAACUUUGCUCAUCGCUCCAUCUGGACUCCAUAUGCUGGCCGGGUCGGCUUGACUUGUAUAUAUAGAAUUGAAGGAAGCUGGAGAUUAAUUGGGCG
rnacentral:lncRNA from 1 species